UCUCGACCCCUCCCUCUGUCCCUCGUUCUCUGGUAUCCAAAUAUUAGUUUCUUGUAUCAUUGCCCAGACUGUCUCGAUCUCUCUCGCUGUCUUUGAGGCUCGGAAUUGAACUAGCGGGGAGUCUUCCGUGUAUCCACGCUGCGUCUUGCAAACCCGCUACUGGAUUCAGUCCGAAAUUUUUCUUCUUUUUUUUCCCCCUGAAUGUAUUGACGAGGACUCGAAAUUGAAGUCAGGCUGUAAUUUUUACCAGGCAGCCCACCGUCUGAUCUGAGUCCGUUUCGACCGUACGAGCACCGCCGCAACCGAGAGGGAGAACAACAGUCUACAGCGCCAACGAUGUAGCCGUGUUCAGACAACACAAUCUCAUGAACCUGUUGGAAAGACACAUUACCGACUUCGUGUAACAUACCGGAGUGGUUAGCGGCGAUCGGGGGGCACGGCUGAAACUGCUUGUAUUAUACAGGAUAUUAUCUUCCAGUAUUGCUCAUCCUUGUUAGAAAGCUU